UCCUCGAUAGUAUAGUGGGUAGUAUCCCUGCAUGUUAUGCGGGGGACCGGGGUUCAAUUCCCCGUCGGGGAG
rnacentral:tRNA from 1 species